rnacentral:lncRNA from 1 species
CGUUUCUGGAGAAGCACACACAACAGCGGCGAUAUCUGGCAUCGGGGCGAAGGUCUGUGCUCGCUGGAGCACCUGCUUCCCUAGAAAUAGAUCCGAGCCUUGCUCUGUCACACCAGACACGGCUGUCCUCCGCCGGACACGGCGGUGCUUUGUCGCGCGGCAGUCCCGAUGCCGGGCGAACAGCGCUGACCACCUUCAUUCUUCC